rnacentral:rRNA from 1 species
GAAAGCGUGGGGAGCGAACCGGAUUAGAUACCCGGGUAGUCCACGCUGUAAACGAUGAGUACUAGGUGUUGGGGGUAUCGACCCCCUCUGUGCCGAAGCUAACGCGAUAAGUACUCCGCCUGAGGACUACGGCCGCAAGGCUAAAACUCAAAGGAAUUGACGGGGGCCCGCACAAGCAGCGGAGCGUGUGGUUUAAUUCGAUGGUACGCGAAGAACCUUACCUGGGUUUGAAAUGCAUGUGGUACUGAUGUGAAAGCUGAGGGACCCCUCGGGGAGCAUGCACAGGUGUUGCACGGCCGUCGUCAGCUCGUGCCGUGAGGUGUUGGGUUAAGUCUCGCAACGAGCGCAACCCCUGUCGUCAGUUGUACUUUUCUGACGAGACUGCCGGGAAACCCCCGGAGGAAGGAGGGGAUGAUGUCAGGUCAGCGUGGCCCUUACGUCCAGGGCUACACACACGCUACAAUGGGUGGUCCAACGGGUCGCGAAGCCGCGAGGUGGAGCUAAUCCCAUCAAAGCCAUCCUCAGUUCGGAUUGCAGGCUGAAACUCGCCUGCAUGAAGCCGGAGUUGCUAGUAACCGCAGGUCAGCACUACUGCGGUGAAUACGUUCCCGGGCCUUGUACACACCGCCCGUCACGUCAUGAAAGUUGGCAACACCUGAAGCCGCUCGGCUAACCGCAAGGAAGCAAGCGUCGAGGGUGGGGCCAGCGAUUGGGACGAAGUCGUAACAAGGUAGCCGUAGCGGAAGCUGCGGCUG